UACAGAGGUGGCAAGCGUUGUUCGGAAUUACUGGGCGUAAAGGGCGCGUAGGCGGUCUGGUCAGUCCCUUGUGAAAUCCCCCGGCUCAACUGGGGAACUGCACGGGAAACAGCCGGGCUUGAGUUCGGGAGAGGGAAGCGGAAUUCCGGGUGUAGCGGUGAAAUGCGUAGAUAUCCGGAGGAACACCGGUGGCGAAGGCGGCUUCCUGGACCGAUACUGACGCUGAGGCGCGAAAGAGUGGGGAGCAAACAGG
rnacentral:rRNA from 1 species